rnacentral:rRNA from 1 species
UGCAGUCGACGCGCGUACAGGAGCUUGCUCCUGUGACGCGAGUGGCGGACGGGUGAGUAACACGUAGGCAACCUGCCCAUCAGACCGGGAUAACCACGGGAAACCGUGGCUAAUACCGGAUAAUCCUUUUCUUCACAGGAAGGAAAGUUGAAAGGCGGCUUCGCUUGCCCCUGAUGAAGGGCCCGCCGCCCCAUUACCUAUUUGGGGGGGUAAGGCCCCCCCAAGGCAACAAUCCUUACCCAACCUGAAAGGUGGACCGCCCCCCCGGGAACUAAAACCCGGCCCAAACCCCUCCGGAAGGCACCAUUAGGAAACCUCCCCCAUGGAACCCAGUUCUAACGAACCACCCCCCCUGGAUUAAAAAAGGUUUCCGCCUCGUAAACUCCUGUUGCCAGGAAAAACCUUCCCCGGGAUUACCGGCCCGGGAAUUGCCGGUCCCGGACCAAAAACCCCCGGCUACUUCCUUGCCACCACCCCCGGUAUUCCUUAGGUGGCAGCCGUUUUCCGAAUUUUUGGGCCGUAAACCCCCCGUAGGCGGCCGGUUAAUUCUAAUGUGAAACCCCCCGGCUCACCCGGGAAGGGCCUUUGAAACCUGGCAAACUUAAUUGCAAAAAAGAAAAUGGAAUUUCCUGGUGUACCGUUGAAUUGCCCAAAAAUAUGGAGGAACACCAGUGGCGAAGGCGGCUCUCUGGUCUGCAACUGACGCUGAGGUGCGAAAGCGUGGGGAUCAAACAGGAUUAGAUACCCUGGUAGUCCACGCCGUAAACGAUGAGUGCUAAGUGUUAGGGGGUUUCCGCCCCUUAGUGCUGCAGCUAACGCAUUAAGCACUCCGCCUGGGGAGUACGGCCGCAAGGCUGAAACUCAAAGGAAUUGACGGGGACCCGCACAAGCGGUGGAGCAUGUGGUUUAAUUCGAAGCAACGCGAAGAACCUUACCAAAUCUUGACAUCCUCUGACCGCCCUGGAGACAGGGCUUCCCUUCGGGGCAGAGUGACAGGUGGUGCAUGGUUGUCGUCAGCUCGUGUCGUGAGAUGUUGGGUUAAGUCCCGCAACGAGCGCAACCCUUAUUACUAGUUGCCAGCAUUCGGUUGGGCACUCUAGUGAGACUGCCGGUGACAAACCGGAGGAAGGUGGGGAUGACGUCAAAUCAUCAUGCCCCUUAUGAUUUGGGCUACACACGUGCUACAAUGGGCAGGAACAAAGGGCAGCGAGACCGCGAGGUGGAGCGAAUCCCAUAAAACUGUUCCCAGUUCGGAUUGGAGUCUGCAACUCGACUCCAUGAAGCUGGAAUCGCUAGUAAUCGUGGAUCAGAAUGCCACGGUGAAUACGUUCCCGGGUCUUGUACACACCGCCCGUCACACCACGGAAGUCGGUAACACCUGAAGCCGGUGGGCCAACCCUUUUGGGAGGCAGCGU